CGGCGUGCCUAACACAUGCAAGUCGUACGAGAAAGCCGGCUUCGGCUGGUGAGUAAAGUGGCGCACGGGUGAGUAACGCGUGGAUAAUCUGCCCUUAAGUGUGGAAUAACGUACCGAAAGGUGCGCUAAUACCGCAUAAUGCCUGGCAACACAAGUUGUCCGGCCAAAGAAGGCCUCUGUUUACAAGCUUUCGCUUCAGGAUGAGUCCGCGUACCAUUAGCUUGUUGGUGGGGUAAUGGCCUACCAAGGCUGCGAUGGUUAGCUGGUCUGAGAGGAUGAUCAGCCACACUGGAACUGAGACACGGUCCAGACUCCUACGGGAGGCAGCAGCGAGGAAUAUUGCGCAAUGGGGGCAACCCUGACGCAGCAACGCCGCGUGAGUGAGGAAGGUUUUCGGACUGUAAAGCUCUGUCGAGCGGGAAGAAGUGUACCAUGGCUAAUAUCCAUGAUAUUUGACGGUACCGCUAGAGGAAGCACCGGCUAACUCCGUG
rnacentral:rRNA from 1 species